GUCAGGGAGUUUAAUUACCCCUUGAAGAAUGAAAGCCAUAUACUUGGGAAUGAGAUCUGAAAACAGCUGUCCAUUUACUCUGCACACUGUUCCACCUGGGACUGCAUGCUUACAAGCUGAAGCCAAAGAAAAUGAAGCUCAGGAUGACAGGACAAGAGAGCGUUACAGACCGGCAGCUGGGAGAGCAUCCCUUCCUUACUCUGGGAGUAUCAGCCUGGGCGGUGUCAACCCCAUCUACCAGCUUUCACUGAAGGUAAAAAUGUCUCUUGCCAACUUUUGUUUUUUCCAAAGUGCAAGAAUUCUGCC
rnacentral:lncRNA from 1 species